UCAGAGUUCAUCUGCUGAGGUCAAAGUGAAAUGUUUUUACACUGUUCAGAUUGGAGACAGAAAUGCUCCAUCUCCACACAGUGACAGUCUCCAUCAGCAUACAAACUCUUCCUCAACCUGACCUGAUGGUGAAUCCAGCAGUUAUCACAGAGACAGACUCAGUCACACUGAACUGUCAGACUCCAUCAUCAGUGUCUCAGUGUUAUUACCAAACUUUAAGUGGAGGAACUGUGAGGACAUUUUCCUGUCUGCAGACAUUGACAGGAAGUGAGCUGCUGAGGAUGGAUCAUCAGAGUUCACCUGCUGAGGUCAAAGUGAAAUGUUUUUACAUUGUUCAGAGUGGAGACAGAAAUGCUCGAUCUCCAGAAAGUGAAUAUUCCUCUGUCUCUGUUCAAAGUGAGACAAACUCAAACAAGGAGAGUCUCAGCACUUUGACAACCUCAGUUUCUAUUGUAACUUCACCUGCUGAUCAAGGUGAGUAUAGCCUACUACAUAUUUCAGUGUUGCUUUCACUUUUACCAUCAUUUACUAACUAGCACUGUCACAUAAAACUACAGUCCCACAUUUUCCUUAAACAUCAGACUCCUGUUAAAACAUAAUUUUUUCAGACAUUCAAGUCCAACAGACUCCUGAUUUAUCCUUUAAACAAGUCCCACACAGCAGGAGUUUGCCUGGACAAACUUAGUGGUAUGAUGGUCAAAGUCAUACGUUGGUCAAAGACGAUACCAAGAUUUGAUAUUUGGUUGAAACGAGCCAAUUAACUGAUCAACU